AAGUAUGCCAGUUGGAUACAGCCUAAGCCUAGCCCAACAAGAAGCAAUGGUAUCUCCCUCUGCCCAUGACACCAUAGCCCCCGAUGCUGGAACUCUCGCACCCUCAUGCCGCCUCCCGGAAACUCGUGCGGUAAUGCACGCCUCGUCCUGCGCACGGACUGCCAGUGACGAGUCUUCACCCCCGCGAUGUCGAUCCAGCGACCCUCCAACUCCUGACAUGAUGGAUCUUGUGGACGAGAAUUAAGCAAAUGAGGAAAUAGGAACUGGAUGCGAGCCUGAAUGCCUUUUGUUACUUUCCUAUAUUUGAGAAUUUGAGACAUGAGACAUGUUGUUCUGUAAUAAUAGAACUUAAGUACUUAAGUAGAUUGCAAUGUGUUAUUGUUUUAUCAAUUUUAAUAUGUGUUAUUCUCUUUUUA